GACGUAGGGCGCGAGCGUUGUCCGGAUUUAUUGGGCGUAAAGAGCUCGUAGGCGGCUCGUCGCGUCGACCGUGAAAACCAGCAGCUUAACUGCUGGCUUGCGGUUGAUACGGGCGGGCUAGAGUUCGGUAGGGGAGACUGGAAUUCCUGGUGUAGCGGUGAAAUGCGCAGAUAUCAGGAGGAACACCGGUGGCGAAGGCGGGUCUCUGGGCCGAUACUGACGCUGAGGAGCGAAAGCGUGGGGAUCAAACAGG
rnacentral:rRNA from 1 species